rnacentral:rRNA from 1 species
AAUCAACGCUGGCGGCGUGCCUCAGACAUGCAAGUCGAACGAUUAAAGCUCUCUUCGGAGAGUGUAUAGAGUGGCGCACGGGUGAGUAACACGUAAGUAAUCUACCUUUGAGUGGGGAAUAACAGUCGGAAACGGCUGCUAAUACCGCAUAACGCAGCGGCACCGCAAGGUGACAGUUGUUAAAGGAGCAAUCCGCUUAAAGAGGAGCUUGCGGCAGAUUAGCUUGUUGGUAAGGUAACGGCUUACCAAGGCUACGAUCUGUAUCCGGUCUAAGAGGACGGUCGGACACACUGACACUGAAUAACGGGUCAGACUCCUACGGGAGGCAGCAGUCGGGAAUUUUGGGCAAUGGGCGAAAGCCUGACCCAGCAACGCCGCGUGAAGGAUGAAGUAUUUCGGUAUGUAAACUUCGAAAGAAUAGAAGAAUAAAUGACGGUACUAUUUAUAAGCUCCGGCUAACUACGUGCCAGCCGCCGCCGUAAG